CCUACGGGAGGCAGCAGUGAGGAAUAUUGGACAAUGGGCGCAAGCCUGAUCCAGCCAUGCCGCGUGCAGGAAGACGGUCCUAUGGAUUGUAAACUGCUUUUAUACAGGAAGAAACACCUCUACGUGUAGAGACUUGACGGUACUGUAUGAAUAAGCAUCGGCUAACUCCGUGCCAGCAGCCGCGGUAAUACGGAGGAUGCAAGCGUUAUCCGGAAUCAUUGGGUUUAAAGGGUCCGUAGGCGGUUUAAUAAGUCAGUGGUGAAAGCCCAUCGCUCAACGAUGGAACGGCCAUUGAUACUGUUAAACUUGAAUUAUUAGGAAGUAACUAGAAUAUGUAGUGUAGCGGUGAAAUGCUUAGAGAUUACAUGGAAUACCAAUUGCGAAGGCAGGUUACUACUAAUAUAUUGACGCUGAUGGACGAAAGCGUGGGGAGCGAACAGGAUUAGAUACCCUGGUAGUCCACGCCGUAAACGAUGGAUACUAGCUGUUCGGAGNAUNUNGUGNGAGAGAGAGAGAGUAGUCCGACCGUGGUAGUAGUUCGUUCGAGAAGUUAGAAGUUAAGUUAAGUUAGAGGCGNGAGAGAGCGACGGACGACGACGAGGAGGAGGAG
rnacentral:rRNA from 1 species